GAAACCGCGAAAGGCUCAUUAAAUCAGUUAUGGUUCCUUAGAUCGUACCCACAAUUACUUGGAUAACUGUGGUAAUUCUAGAGCUAAUACAUGCAAACAGAGCUCCGACCGGAGACGGAAGGAGUGCUUUUAUUAGAUCAAAACCAAUCGGUGGCGGGUUCGCUCGUUAUCGCACAACUUGGUGACUCUGAAUAACUUUACGCUGAUCGCACGGUCAUCGCACCGGCGACGCAUCUUUCAAAUGUCUGCCUUAUCAACUGUCGAUGGUAGGUUCUGCGCCUACCAUGGUUGUAACGGGUAACGGGGAAUCAGGGUUCGAUUCCGGAGAGGGAGCCUGAGAAACGGCUACCACAUCCAAGGAAGGCAGCAGGCGCGCAAAUUACCCACUCCCGGCACGGGGAGGUAGUGACGAAAAAUAACGAUACGGGACUCAUCCGAGGCCCCGUAAUCGGAAUGAGUACACUCUAAACCCUUUAACGAGGAUCAAUUGGAGGGCAAGUCUGGUGCC
rnacentral:rRNA from 1 species